CCUAAUUUGGUAAGCCUUCCAGAGUAGCUAAAACCCUACUGGUCCGUGUAGCUAAAAUUCUUCAUUCCUAUUGGGAUAUAUCCAUAUUUAUGUUAAAUAAAUAUAUUUAGGAGAUAUAUACUUUAUGUUAAUAAACUUUAUCUCCAAGUUUAGUUUACCGCUCUUGUAUAUAUAUAAAGAUGUAAUCAUAUGAGAUGAAUAAGAGGGAAAACAUAUCCUAAACCUAGCCGCCUCUAGUUUCUACAAUUC